GAGGAUGUAGCUCAGUGGCAGAGCAUGUGCUUAGCAUGCACGAGGUUCUGGGUUCAAUCCCAGUACCGCCA
rnacentral:tRNA from 1 species